rnacentral:rRNA from 1 species
UACGUAGGGUGCGAGCGUUGUCCGGAAUUAUUGGGCGUAAAGAGCUCGUAGGCGGUUUGUCGCGUCGACUGUGAAAACCUGGGGCUUAACUCUGGGCCUGCAGUCGAUACGGGCAGACUUGAGUUCGGUAGGGGAGACUGGAAUUCCUGGUGUAGCGGUGAAAUGCGCAGAUAUCAGGAGGAACACCGGUGGCGAAGGCGGCAUCCUGGACCGGCAUUGACGCUGAGGCGCGAAAGCCAGGGGAGCAAACGGG